UGGAGUGUAGCUCAGUUGGUAAAGCACUUGCCUAGCAUGCACAAAACCCUGGGUUCUAGCCCAGUACUGUAU
rnacentral:tRNA from 1 species